rnacentral:rRNA from 1 species
CCUACGGGUGGCAGCAGUGAGGCAUAUUGGUCACUGGCCGAGAGGCUGAACCAGCCAAGCCGCGUGAGGGAAGAAUGUCCUAUGGAUUGUAAACCUCUUUUGUCAGGGAGCAAAGUCACCCACGUGUGGGUGUUGGAGAGUACCUGAAGAAAAAGCAUCGGCUAACUCCGUGCCAGCAGCCGCGGUAAUACGGGGGAUGCGAGCGUUAUCCGGAUUUAUUGGGUUUAAGGGGGCGUAGGCGGGUUAUCACGUCAGCGGUAAAAUCGCGGAGCUCAACGCCGUCCAGCCGUUGAAACGGAGGAUCUUGAGUGGGCGAGAGGUAUGCGGAAGGCGUGGUGUAGCGGUGAAAUGCGUAGAUAUCACGCAGAACUCCGAUUGCGAAGGCAGCAUACCGGCGCCCGACUGACGCUGAAGCACGAAAGCGUGGGUAUCGAACAGGAUUAGAUACCCGAGUAGUC